UAGGGAAUCUUCGGCAAUGGGGGGAACCCUGACCGAGCAACGCCGCGUGAGUGAAGAAGGUUUUCGGAUCGUAAAGCUCUGUUGUUAAGGAAGAACGAGUGUGAGAAUGGAAAGUUCAUGCUGUGACGGUACUUAACCAGAAAGGGACGGCUAACUACGUGCCAGCAGCCGCGGUAAUACGUAGGUCCCGAGCGCUGUCCGGAUUUAUUGGGCGUAAAGCGAGCGCAGGCGGUUAGAAAAGUCUGAAGUGAAAGGCAGUGGCUCAACCAUUGUAGGCUUUGGAAACUGUUUAACUUGAGUGCAGAAGGGGAGAGUGGAAUUCCAUGUGUAGCGGUGAAAUGCGUAGAUAUAUGGAGGAACACCGGUGGCGAAAGCGGCUCUCUGGUCUGUAACUGACGCUGAGGAUCGAAAGCGUGGGGAGCGAACAGA
rnacentral:rRNA from 1 species